GCAGCCGCGGUAAUACGUAGGUGGCGAGCGUUAUCCGGAAUUAUUGGGCGUAAAGAGUGAGCAGGCGGUCGACUAAGUCUGAAUUUAAAAGCAUUCGCUUAACGAAUGUUCGGUUCGGAUACUGGUUGACUAGAGUGCAGGAGAGGUAAGCGGAAUUCCAUGUGUAGCGGUGAAAUGCGUAGAUAUAUGGAGGAACACCAGUGGCGAAGGCGGCUUACUGGCCUGAAACUGACGCUCAGUCACGAAAGCGUGGGGAGCAAAUAGGAUUAGAUACCCC
rnacentral:rRNA from 1 species